rnacentral:rRNA from 1 species
GACGAACCGAGCGAACGUUGUUCGGAAUAACUGGGCUUAAAGGGUGCGUAGGUGGUGGGGUAAGUCGGAUGUGAAAUCCCGGGGCUCAACCCCGGAACUGCAUUCGAUACUGCCUUGCUCGAGUACUGGAGAGGAGACUGGAAUUUACGGUGUAGCAGUGAAAUGCGUAGAUAUCGUAAGGAAGACCAGUGGCGAAGGCGAGUCUCUGGACAGUUACUGACACUGAGGCACGAAGGCCAGGGGAGCAAACGGG